rnacentral:rRNA from 1 species
GACGAACGCUGGCGGCGUGCUUAACACAUGCAAGUCGAGCGAUGAAGUUCCUUCGGGAAUGGAUUAGCGGCGGACGGGUGAGUAACACGUGGGUAACCUGCCUCAUAGAGGGGAAUAGCCUUCCGAAAGGAAGAUUAAUACCGCAUAAGAUUGUAGUACCGCAUGGUACAGCAAUUAAAGGAGUAAUCCGCUAUGAGAUGGACCCGCGUCGCAUUAGCUAGUUGGUGGGGUAACGGCUCACAAAGGCGACGAUGCGUAGCCGACCUGAGAGGGUGAUCGGCCACAUUGGGACUGAGACACGGCCCAGACUCCUACGGGAGGCAGCAGUGGGGAAUAUUGCACAAUGGGGGAAACCCUGAUGCAGCAACGCCGCGUGAGUGAUGACGGUCUUCGGAUUGUAAAGCUCUGUCUUCAGGGACGAUAAUGACGGUACCUGAGGAGGAAGCCACGGCUAACUACGUGCCAGCAGCCGCCGUAAUAC